rnacentral:lncRNA from 1 species
UUUACUUGUUUUGCAUUUAGGAAUUAGAUUUAGAUUCAUUAAUCUUUGUAUAGAUUUGUAGUUUACAUGGCCUAAUCUUUCAUGCCAUAUAUUAAAAGACUCAACCAAAUAAGCAACUGGCUCAUUCUUAUUCAUUGAAACUUUUGGAGCUACAACUUUUGGAGUGACUGUCAUUACAUUCAACUUGACAAGUCCACCCUUAACAUAACCCCU